AAUGAAUAAAGCAUAGAAGGUGUCCGUAAGGACUUAAUAGGGAAAGCUAAGAACUGCAGCCCCCGCUACUGUUAAUAGGGACGAAGGCAAAAGCCACUGUAAACCAAGGUUUAUGGGAAGGCGCCGGAGGAAGAACUAUGAGCCAGGAGACCUGCCUUGUAUGUGUGAGAAAG
rnacentral:ncRNA from 2 species